rnacentral:rRNA from 1 species
UACGUAGGGGGCAAGCGUUGUCCGGAUUUAUUGGGCGUAAAGAGCUCGUAGGCGGUUUGGUAAGUCUGGUGUGAAAUCUCCACGCUCAACGUGGAGGGGCCACCCGAUACUGCCAUGACUGGAGUGAUGUAGGGGAGACUGGAAUUCCUGGUGUAGCGGUGAAAUGCGCAGAUAUCAGGAGGAACACCGGUGGCGAAGGCGGCCUUCUGGACAGCAUCUGACGCUGAGACGCGAAAGCGUGGGGAGCAAACAGG